GGUGUCUCCACAUUAGAAGCAUCCUAUGUAGCUGUUCUGCUUGCAGCUGCCCAAGUCUGCCUGGGCCUCCUGCAUGAGGUCAUGAGUCUUAAUAAAGCCACUGACCCACACAUUUGGAAUCGUACUGACUUUUCACAACUAACAGCCAACACAUUGCCAAGAAGCAAUUCAAUUGUUGAGGAUAUCACAUCAUGCCAGGGAAAGAGAGAUGGAAUUCAGAAAGCCUGGGAUAUUGCAGGGCAUUAGUUCUCGGCGAGAUAUAUGGGGUUGGAGAGGACAGGAGCCAGAAGCUCCCAGUGCAGCAGCAAGGCUGGCCCACGUGAGCACCUGGAGCAUCAUUUCUGCUGCCACAUGCUUGGGCUGCCCCACCCCGCCGUGCCCUGCUCAGCCGUGCCCUGCUCCAUCUCCCUCGCCAGGCCUGAGACCGGCCCCCAGUGUGUUGUGACUCCUGAGGUCUCUCAGCUCUCCCUCAACCCCCAGGAGAAUUGCUCUCCACUCCAGAAGCCGCCUGAUGGGGAGGCUGACCCCUCUCCAGGACUGACUGAUCCAGGUUUAUCCUGACAGUAACCUCUCCCCAGGUCGGAAGACCUCUCAGGCUCUGUUUCUAGGGAGGCUGACCUGCUGACAAUGCUCCUAGCUGGAUUUUGUAAGCGGUCUUGAAUAAAGUCUUCCUCACUGUUUUAACAAGAGACAAGGUAAUGUUCAUUGAACAUCUUAUACAAAGAGGAAACCUGGCACAGAAGUGGACAUGCACUCGGAGGGAAAAUGCCAAGUGACAAUGAAGGCAGAGAUCAGGUGAUGCAUCUGCAAGCUGAGCAACAUCAGGAAUUGCCAAAAACCACCAGGAGCUGGAGAGGCCUGGGACAGAGCCUCCCACGGAGCCUCAAGGGAGCCAGCCCUGCCCACGCCUUGAUCUUUGACGUCCGACCUCAAGAACUAUGAAAGAACCCAUUUCUGUUGGUGAAGGCUCCCCGUCUGUGGUCCCCUGUCCUGGCAGCCCUAGGAACCUGACCUCUGGUCCCUCUGCAUCCCUGGCAUCACUCUGCCUCCCUCUCUUUUUCUCCAGUGAAUCCAACACACUCUCAGUGAGACAGCCAGGUGGCAAGGGGUUCUCGGAGAAACUCCAGCCGGCCUGCUCGCUGGGCAUGUACACUGGAGUGGAGCCACAGAAGUUCACGGUGUUUGCAGCAGGGAGGAGCCUGGCCACUCCUCUUCCUGGUUGGAACCUGGAAUUUAUUUUGUGAGGCGGGAAGCCUAUACUGGGGAGACUCUUGCUCUGCUGAGUCCCCAUUCCCCCUUUAUUUUCCUUUUUGCCCAAUAAAUCCUAUUAUUCUCAGUCUUCAAAUU
rnacentral:lncRNA from 10 species